rnacentral:rRNA from 1 species
AGAGUUUGAUCAUGGCUCAGAACGAACGCUGGCGGCAGGCUUAACACAUGCAAGUCGAACGCCCGUAGCAAUACGGGAGUGGCAGACGGGUGAGUAACGCGUGGGAAUCUUCCCAAAGGUACGGAACAACUCAGGGAAACUUGAGCUAAUACCGUAUGUGCCCGAGAGGGCAAAGAUUUAUCGCCUUUGGAUGAGCCCGCGUUGGAUUAGCUAGUUGGUGGGGUAACGGCCUACCAAGGCGACGAUCCAUAGCUGAUCUGAGAGGAUGAUCAGCCACACUGGGACUGAGACACGGCCCAGACUCCUACGGGAGGCAGCAGUGGGGAAUCUUGGACAAUGGGCGAAAGCCUGAUCCAGCCAUGCCGCGUGAGUGAAGAAGGCCUUAGGGUUGUAAAGCUCUUUUACCCGGGAAGAUAAUGACGGUACCGGAGAAUAG